AGGAGUGAACCAGCUUAGUUUACGGUUCGAAAAACUGGUUUUCACGAUUCGGUUUGCGGUUUGGAACCGGCCCCCAAAAUUUGAUGUUGAAGUUUAGUUGUUUAGUCGAGAGGGAGGGAGAGUUAAUACAAGAAAAGGCUUCCGCUUAAAAAACUUUGCAACUUUAUUUUCUGCAGCAGGUUUGUGGAGUUGGAUCCAAUAAUCACAUUCUACAGCAAACAAGAAAGAGAUAGAUCGUAUUCAGUUGCAAAUCCGUCUUCGAUGAUGGCGCUGAUGAAUACAAUGCAAAAGCCUGAAUGGACGCACAUCUUGCUUAUCUUGGCUGCACGCUUAAGUAGAGGAUAUUAUGCAGUGGUGGGUUAGGGUUAACAUGGUAAUGUGAGUAAUUUCUUCUGUUGGCAAGAAGGUGAAUUGGAUUAUACAUCUAGAUGAUUUUGAAGCUAAUGUUUUAUUUGAUCUGAAAGAUGUUGGUUAGUUUGGCUCAUUCUUUGUAUGCUCACAAAAGAUUACUUUCUAUCGCACUACAUAUUUCAUAAAAAUGCACCACUUGGUACAGGUCUACGGUUCAAAAUGGUUUUGAGUUUACCCCAAUUAAAUUAAUUGUAAACAAAACCAUUACUCUGGUGCAAGAAUAGAUGUGAUUAGAUACGUUGUGCAUUGUUUCAACAUUGAGAUGACCAGUCAUGAGAUUUGGGAAAGAAAGCCCAAAGAUGAACCUAAAACUAAAAGAUAUUGAUGAUGUGGAGGUCGCUGUGACGUUGUGGAAUCAAUAUGCUAAAGCGAUUGAUGCAUACUAUAAAGCUAAUAUAGGGGGAGUUCAUGUGGUGUUACAUAUUCAGUUUGGCACGUUCAAGAUCUACAAAGGGAAGACUAUGUCCACAUUACAUGAAUAGUUGACUUUUUGGGUAUGAUCAUUAACUAUUAAGGUCUAUGAACAUGUAAACUUUCUUUAAUAUGUGAUUUCAAGUUCUUUAUUUGGUUUAUUAUUGAUUAAGGUUCUUUAUUUGAUUGAUUGAUAAACAUGAAUUUAACCAUCAGUGACGAUAUAUCAUGCAGUUUUCCCUCAAGUACUUGAAGACAUACAAUUCUUAGCUAAACCAUGAAAUGCAGUCUGAAACAAAACACAUCCCAAUAUUGUCCCAAGUCAAACCCAUUCAUAAGUUAAGAACUGAAAUCGCUGCCAAAGGUAGCAUUUGAGGAGUUCCAACUGAAAUCCCAAUAUGCUUUCCUUACAGCUGCUAUUCUACUAAUUAUCCAAAGGCCACAUUAGCUUCUUCUUAUACUAUUGCUUUUGUCUAAUGUUAAAGCCAUGGAGGUCAAUUCAAAAUAUUUCUUAUUCCCUAUGUUGGUAACAAGUUUGAUUUGAAUAGUUUCAUAUCGUGGUAUAGAUACAUUAUUUAGAUUCAUGCAUGCUUAUUUUUUCAGUUUUAACCAAGUUACUAAUAAAAGGAUCAACGUGUUGUGUUUAAUGUAUAACGGGUCAAAUGGUUAAAGAAAUUUAGAAGAAAACUGGUCGGGUGAGUGGAGCGGGGUCAAAUGGAUUGGAAGUUGUCUAAAGUGUAAAAAUGUACAAAAUCAAGUUUAAAUGGAUUUGAUGCAAUAGGGUUUUGUAAGUUUUUGUGGCAUUGAAUAAAAUGGUUCCGUCUGGUUCAAAAAAAAAAAAAAAAAGAGAAAACAGCUUAUGAAAGGUUGGGCUUUGAACUGGUGGGACCAUGUAUCAAACCCUUGAUGAUAUAUAUCUAUGGUUACUAUGGAUCCAAGGUAAAAUAGCCAUUGUUCUUAAAUUUAGUAUUAGAUGCUUCAGGGGUAUUUUCGGUAUGUAAUUGUUCGUGCAAAAAAUGCAGGUUCCAAAUCAGGUCGACACGGGUCAGAAGUUCAAGUGGAACGACUGGGCGCCAAUCAAGGUGACUUUUUUUUUUGGUUCGGAGAGCAUCUAGGGACCGGUUAACCACGAAGGCUGCUUUGGACAAAAGGGGCAUCAGCAUUGGGUCGUGAAACUGCAGUUUUUUUUUUUUGCGGAGAAUUUGAGGAGGCAACAUACCAUAUAUUUGUGUCGUGUGGUUUUGCUCAGGCAAUUUGGGAUGCGGUGGCUCAAUGGUGUGAAUAGUUUGAUUUAGAGUGUAGAGUGACAGGGGCACUGGUCUCACCAUUUCUAAUACCAUGCUUGAUAUUCUCUCAAGUCUCAACUUGGACAAGCUCUUAGUUGCUGAGAUUUGAUGAACUCUUUUGAUAUAUAUGCAUCCACCUAUAAUCAAGCAACACAAGAGUAAAAAAAAUUGUAGGAUCAUAAAUUGAUGCUUCGUGGGCAACAUCGACUCAGAUGAAAUCAAUCGGGUUCCGUUGGAUGUGCAUCGUCCUGAAUCGUCAAGACAUGUGAGAGCUCUAAAUAAACAAUUUGCAAGGCAUGAAACUUUGAUAUUGAUUUUCAUGGCAUAACUUGAGUAAGCUUUUGUUUACAAGAAUCUAUAUAUAUAAUAUAUGAACAAAGUGUGGGACACGUGUCCUUUGAUUGUGCAACCAAAUUGGAUUUUUGGCGGGAAAAUGUGGGAAUCCUUAUAUUUUUACACGGGAUCCGAAUGGCAACAACCAUACCCGCAUAGUUUGACCCGGGUAUAAAAACUAUCUAAUUAGCAAACGCAUCAUUCUUCUCAUUCACGCUUUCAUUCAAGCUUACAAAACCCUAAUUUGUUCAUCGCCGACAAGCAAAUCUACCACCAUCUCUUUCGAUUUCAAUAGCAUCUGCAUUGUUUUGGGUUUAUCUCAUCUUUUGUGACAAACAAUCUAAAUCGAUGGCUCGGUUUUGUUUGAUUAGAAGAAGAAUCAUCGUGUGCUUGGGUGAUGGCUGGAUCUGGAUGUUGUUUAGGGUUUCGCUUGAAUUUGCGGAAGAAGAAAGGUGAAUUUUGAGAUCAAGCACCAAAGCAUAUGAAUAUCGGUCAGUAUAUUUGUCAAACGUUCCAAGCCUAAAAUAUUUCCAUGAGCAGACAUCAAAUCUACAAAACUGAACACAUACUUUGAAAGCUCUCUCUUCAGCAAUGUUAUUAUUACACAGAUAUGAAUUCAAAACCAAUCAUGAAGAAUGGAUUAUACAGUCAAGCCUAAGCUAGGAUCUGAUGUGUCUGAUUAUAUUCAUGCUGUAUUAAAGCUAAUCAUGAAAAUAUUAAAGCUUACGACAAAGUCAGGACUGAACUGCGAGCAGCUCUAUGAAAUCUUCUAAAGAUACUUUACAUGGUUAUUGAUUAGUUAGGUGAUAUUUAUUACAUUAAAUUCAGUGAAAAAUAGUCUAAUUUUAGCUUUAAUGCUGUGAAAGUGUGCGUCGGUAGAUUUAUCUCAAUGUUAGGUUACUUUCAUUAGUCAAGAAAGGGUCUGUCUUAAUGCU